rnacentral:pre_miRNA from 1 species
GGGGGGAGCGCCGGAUCCGGGGCUGUGUUCCCCGGCACCCUGGGCUCUGGGGCCUUCACUGCUAGAAUUGAGCCUCAGGGGCUGCGCAGCCCCCU